GAAGUCCGCCAGGCAGCCGCUGGGCGCGCAAGCGCCUGGAGGAAAGUCCGGGCCCCAUAGAGCAGGAUGCCGGCUAACGGCCGGGCGCCGCGAGGCGACAGACAGUGCAACAGAAAGAUACCGCCGAAGUCCGACUUUGACGCCGCAAGGCGGCAAAGUCACUUCCUGAAGAGUUGGGACGCAAGUCCCGGCGAUGAAGGAAAGGGCUGGUAAGGGUGAAAUGGCGAGGUAAGAGCUCACCGCGUGGCUGGCAACAGUUCACGGCACGGCAAACCUCAUCCGGGGCAAGGCCAAAUAGGGGAGCAAUGACGUGGCUCGCGUCGCUCCCGGGUAGGCUGCUAGAGGCCGCCGGCAACGGCGGUCCCAGAGGAAUGGCUGCUCACGACAGAACCCGGCUUAUCGGCGGACUUCCAUU
rnacentral:RNase_P_RNA from 2 species